UACGGAGGGUGCGAGCGUUGUCCGGAAUCACUGGGCGUAAAGAGCUCGUAGGCGGUCUGUUGCGUCCGCUGUGAAAACUCGGGGCUUAACCCCGAGCCUGCAGUGGAUACGGGCAGACUAGAGGUAGGUAGGGGAGAAUGGAAUUCCCGGUGUAGCGGUGAAAUGCGCAGAUAUCGGGAGGAACACCGGUGGCGAAGGCGGGUCUCUGGGCCGAGAUUGACGCUGAGGAGCGAAAGCGUGGGGAGCGAACAGG
rnacentral:rRNA from 1 species